rnacentral:rRNA from 1 species
GACGAACGCUGGCGGCAUGCUUAACACAUGCAAGUCGAACGGCAAGGCCCUGCUUUCGUCGGGUGCUCGAGUGGCCAACGCGUGAGUGACACAUGAGUAACCUGCCCGUGACUUUCAGAUAACUUCAGGGAGCUGGGGCGAAUACCGGCUACAUACUCCUGCUGCAUGGUGGGCGUUCGAGAGUUUCGGCGGUUGGUGAUGGACUCGCGGCUGAUCAGUUUGUUGGUGGGGUAGUGGAUUACCAAGGCUGUGACGGGUAGCCGGCCUGAGAGGGUGACCGGCCAAAUUGGGACUGUGCUACGGGCGAGACUAGUAAGGGAGGCAGCAGUGGGGAAUAUAGCACGAUGGGGGGAAGCCGGAUGCAGCAAGGCCGCGUGCGGGAUGACGGCCUUCGGGUUGUAAACCGCUUUCGCCUGUGACGAAGCGUGAGUGACGGUAAUGGGUGAAGAAGCACCGGCUAACUACGUG